AAGUUUGGAACAAAUAAAGGAUGAGGCUAAAUGGCAGAAUUGUCAGUUUUGGGUGAGCUAUCUCUAUAAGUUAAAGUAUAUAAGUUGAUGUUCAUAUGCCUAAUUAAUAUAGAUAUCAGUAAAAAGGUCUGCUAGUCUAAAUUUCUAUUUUGAUUAAUCUUUUAAUGUUUUAUUUAAAACCCACUCUUUUCUUUGCUCAACAGGCUAUUUUCACAUGGAGGUAAUCUUCUAUUGAUAAUUUCUGGAUUUUAAGUAUGUGUAAGUUGCAUAAAACUCUAUUGCUUAACCACUCACUGUUGUUUUCAAAUUACUCGUGUAACUUGUCUUUCAGAAUGGUUUCAGCUGUUGAAUUCACCUCAGAUCAGUGUUGCUGUAAUUCCCGAUCUAUGGAAAGAAUAAUUGAAUGAGCGAGCAACGCCACAACUACAGGACCUCUUCUUUCUCUUCUCAUAAUUUAACUUUCUCCAAACCAACAACUAUGCCUGGUCUUCAGCUGCGCUCCCCGGUCUGCUGUAUUCUCCAGUCCAGCUUCACUGCCCAGUGUCUGAAUUUUAAUUUAUAUAUUUAUUUAUAUAUAUAUAUUUACAUUUUAAUGAUUUCUUGUUUACUUUUC